rnacentral:rRNA from 1 species
UGUGAGCUCGAUGAGUAGGGCGGGACACGUGGUAUCCUGUCUGAAUAUGGGGGGACCAUCCUCCAAGGCUAAAUACUCCUGACUGACCGAUAGUGAACCAGUACCGUGAGGGAAAGGCGAAAAGAACCCCGGCGAGGGGAGUGAAAAAGAACCUGAAACCGUGUACGUACAAGCAGUGGGAGCCCCACCACUAAGCCAGUGGUGAACUCCACAUACGCAUCCUUUGCUGAGGAUACGGUUAACGGAGCGAAAGCGACGUUCAACCGCAAAAGAAGCAGAGGGGGCUUAGUGGUGGGGUGACUGCGUACCUUUUGUAUAAUGGGUCAGCGACUUAUAUUCUGUAGCAAGGUUAACCGAAUAGGGGAGCCGGAGGGAAACCGAGUCUUAAUUGGGCGUUAAGUUGCAGGGUAUAGACCCGAAACCCGGUGAUCUAGCCAUGGGCAGGUUGAAGGUUGGGUAACACUAACUGGAGGACCGAACCGACUAAUGUUGAAAAAUUAGCGGAUGACCUGUGGCUGGGGGUGAAAGGCCAAUCAAACCGGGAGAUAGCUGGUUCUCCCCGAAAGCUAUUUAGGUAGCGCCUCGUGAAUUCAUCUCCGGGGGUAGAGCACUGUUUCGGCUAGGGGGCCAUCCCGGCUUACCAACCCGAUGCAAACUGCGAAUACCGGAGAAUGUUAUCACGGGAGACACACGGCGGGUGCUAACGUCCGUCGUGAAGAGGGAAACAACCCAGACCGCCAGCUAAGGUCCCAAAGUCAUGGUUAAGUGGGAAACGAUGUGGGAAGGCCCAGACAGCCAGGAUGUUGGCUUAGAAGCAGCCAUCAUUUAAAGAAAGCGUAAUAGCUCACUGGUCGAGUCGGCCUGCGCGGAAGAUGUAACGGGGCUAAACCAUG